CAAGCACCAAUUUGUAAGUCGCUCUGGAUAAGAGCGUCUGCUAAAUGACUUACA
rfam:Salmo salar isolate Sally breed double haploid chromosome ssa13, whole genome shotgun sequence.